CUCAACGAUGCCUAAUAAAAAUGCAUAAAGUGAAAGAAGAGCUAGCAACGUCCAGGUACACCACAAAACCCAGCCGAUUAUUUGCGUAAUGAUACGACGACGUACUAUGGAUGGCACGUUUCUACUUGGCAUAUUCUUUUUCCUAAAGAAAGAAAGAGAGAGAGAGAAAUUGCAAAGGAGCUCUGUUCUAUAAAUAACAUUUGAAGGCGCUCACGGUUAACGUAUGAGAAGUUUUUAGUUGGUUACUUGGACCCACAGUUGUAAAUGAACAAGUUUCGUAACACUUUUAAAACUAGAUAAUCAUCAAAUAUUAUGAUUGGGUAAAUAUAUUUACCCCAAUCGUUUGUAUUUCUUGUUUUU